rnacentral:tRNA from 1 species
GGAGAGUUACCCAAACGGUUAAGGGGACUGUUUGCUAAACAGUUAGGUCCUUCGGGACGCAUGGGUUCGAAUCCCAUAUUCUCCUCCA